GACGAACGCUGGCGGCGUGCUUAACACAUGCAAGUCGAACGGAAAGGCCUCUUUCGGGGGGUACUCGAGUGGCGAACGGGUGAGUAACACGUGAGUAACCUGCCCUUGACUUUGGGAUAACUUCAGGAAACUGGGGCUAAUACCGGAUAGGAGCUCCUGCUGCAUGGUGGGGGUUGGAAAGUUUCGGCGGUUGGGGAUGGACUCGCGGCUUAUCGGCUUGUUGGUGGGGUAGUGGCUUACCAAGGCUUUGACGGGUAGCCGGCCUGAGAGGGUGACCGGCCACAUUGGGGCUGAGAUACGGCCCAGACUCCUACGGGAGGCAGCAGUGGGGAAUAUUGCACAAUGGGUGGAAGCCUGAUGCAGCAACGCCGUGUGCGGGAUGACGGCCUUCGGGUUGUAAACCGCUUUCGCUCAUGACGAAGCUUUGUGUGACGGUAGUGGGUAAAGAAGCACCGGCUAACUACGUG
rnacentral:rRNA from 1 species